rnacentral:rRNA from 1 species
CUGACUGACCGAUAGUGAACCAGUACCGUGAGGGAAAGGCGAAAAGAACCCCGGCGAGGGGAGUGAAAAAGAACCUGAAACCGUGUACGUACAAGCAGUGGGAGCACGCUUAGGCGUGUGACUGCGUACCUUUUGUAUAAUGGGUCAGCGACUUAUAUUCUGUAGCAAGGUUAACCGAAUAGGGGAGCCGAAGGGAAACCGAGUCUUAACUGGGCGUUAAGUUGCAGGGUAUAGACCCGAAACCCGGUGAUCUAGCCAUGGGCAGGUUGAAGGUUGGGUAACACUAACUGGAGGACCGAACCGACUAAUGUUGAAAAAUUAGCGGAUGACUUGUGGCUGGGGGUGAAAGGCCAAUCAAACCGGGAGAUAGCUGGUUCUCCCCGAAAGCUAUUUAGGUAGCGCCUCGUGAAUUCAUCUCCGGGGGUAGAGCACUGUUUCGGCAAGGGGGUCAUCCCGACUUACCAACCCGAUGCAAACUGCGAAUACCGGAGAAUGUUAUCACGGGAGACACACGGCGGGUGCUAACGUCCGUCGUGAAGAGGGAAACAACCCAGACCGCCAGCUAAGGUCCCAAAGUCAUGGUUAAGUGGGAAACGAUGUGGGAAGGCCCAGACAGCCAGGAUGUUGGCUUAGAAGCAGCCAUCAUUUAAAGAAAGCGUAAUAGCUCACUGGUCGAGUCGGCCUGCGCGGAAGAUGUAACGGGGCUAAACCAUGCACCGAAGCUGCGGCAGCGACGCUGAUGCGUUGUUGGGUAGGGGAGCGUUCUGUAAGCCUGUGAAGGUGUGCUGUGAGGCAUGCUGGAGGUAUCAGAAGUGCGAAUGCUGACAUAAGUAACGAUAAAGCGGGUGAAAAGCCCGCUCGCCGGAAGACCAAGGGUUCCUGUCCAACGUUAAUCGGGGCAGGGUGAGUCGACCCCUAAGGCGAGGCCGAAAGGCGUAGUCGAUGGGAAACAGGUUAAUAUUCCUGUACUUGGUGUUACUGCGAAGGGGGGACGGAGAAGGCUAUGUUGGCCGGGCGACGGUUGUCCCGGUUUAAGCGUGUAGGCUGGUUUUCCAGGCAAAUCCGGAAAAUCAAGGCUGAGGCGUGAUGACGAGGCACUACGGUGCUGAAGCAACAAAUGCCCUGCUUCCAGGAAAAGCCUCUAAGCAUCAGGUAACAUCAAAUCGUACCCCAAACCGACACAGGUGGUCAGGUAGAGAAUACCAAGGCGCUUGAGAGAACUCGGGUGAAGGAACUAGGCAAAAUGGUGCCGUAACUUCGGGAGAAGGCACGCUGAUAUGUAGGUGAAGCGACUUGCUCGUGGAGCUGAAAUCAGUCGAAGAUACCAGCUGGCUGCAACUGUUUAUUAAAAACACAGCACUGUGCAAACACGAAAGUGGACGUAUACGGUGUGACGCCUGCCCGGUGCCGGAAGGUUAAUUGAUGGGGUCAGCGCAAGCGAAGCUCUUGAUCGAAGCCCCGGUAAACGGCGGCCGUAACUAUAACGGUCCUAAGGUAGCGAAAUUCCUUGUCGGGUAAGUUCCGACCUGCACGAAUGGCGUAAUGAUGGCCAGGCUGUCUCCACCCGAGACUCAGUGAAAUUGAACUCGCUGUGAAGAUGCAGUGUACCCGCGGCAAGACGGAAAGACCCCGUGAACCUUUACUAUAGCUUGACACUGAACAUUGAGCCUUGAUGUGUAGGAUAGGUGGGAGGCUUUGAAGUGUGGACGCCAGUCUGCAUGGAGCCGGCCUUGAAAUACCACCCUUUAAUGUUUGAUGUUCUAACGUUGACCCGUGAUCCGGGUUGCGGACAGUGUCUGGUGGGUAGUUUGACUGGGGCGGUCUCCUCCUAAAGAGUAACGGAGGAGCACGAAGGUUGGCUAAUCCUGGUCGGACAUCAGGAGGUUAGUGCAAUGGCAUAAGCCAGCUUGACUGCGAGCGUGACGGCGCGAGCAGGUGCGAAAGCAGGUCAUAGUGAUCCGGUGGUUCUGAAUGGAAGGGCCAUCGCUCAACGGAUAAAAGGUACUCCGGGGAUAACAGGCUGAUACCGCCCAAGAGUUCAUAUCGACGGCGGUGUUUGGCACCUCGAUGUCGGCUCAUCACAUCCUGGGGCUGAAGUAGGUCCCAAGGGUAUGGCUGUUCGCCAUUUAAAGUGGUACGCGAGCUGGGUUUAGAACGUCGUGAGACAGUUCGGUCCCUAUCUGCCGUGGGCGCUGGAGAACUGAGGGGGGCUGCUCCUAGUACGAGAGGACCGGAGUGGACGCAUCACUGGUGUUCGGGUUGUCAUGCCAAUGGCACUGCCCGGUAGCUAAAUGCGGAAGAGAUAAGUGCUGAAAGCAUCUAAGCACGAAACUUGCCCCGAGAUGAGUUCUCCCUGACUCCUUGAGAGUCCUGAAGGAACGUUGAAGACGACGACGUUGAUAGGCCGGGUGUGUAAGCGCAGCGAUGCGUUGAGCUAACCGGUACUAAUGAACCGUGAGG